rnacentral:rRNA from 1 species
UACGUAGGGUGCGAGCGUUGUCCGGAAUUAUUGGGCGUAAAGAGCUUGUAGGCGGUUUGUCGCGUCUGCUGUGAAAGCCCGGGGCUCAACCCCGGGUCUGCAGUGGGUACGGGCAGACUUGAGUGCGGUAGGGGAGAUUGGAAUUCCUGGUGUAGCGGUGGAAUGCGCAGAUAUCAGGAGGAACACCGAUGGCGAAGGCAGAUCUCUGGGCCGUUACUGACGCUGAGGAGCGAAAGCAUGGGGAGCGAACAGGAUUAGAUA